CCACACGACUCUCGGCAACGGAUAUCUCGGCUCUCGCAUCGAUGAAGAACGUAGCGAAAUGCGAUACYUGGUGUGAAUUGCAGAAUCCCGCGAACCAUCGAGUCUUUGAACGCAAGUUGCGCCCGAGGCCACCCGGCCAAGGGCACGCCUGCCUGGGCGUCACGC
rnacentral:rRNA from 15 species